rnacentral:lncRNA from 1 species
UCUACAAGUAUCAACAAGCCAAUUCUUGGGGAUGAUGUCCCAAAGGCUUCAGAUGUUGCACCCGAAGGGGGACCUUCUUUCCGCCCAAAGGGAAAGGGAAACAUGAAACCAUCUGAUGACGAUGAUGAGAAGAAGACCAAUGAAGGAAAGAGCAGCAAGUCUGGUGGUGUGGAUGAUGCCUAAUGAAGCAGCCGUCGAAUAAUAAAAUUAAUGUUGUCUUGAAAUAAAGUUGUUGUUGUGUCUUUCCAUGCUCAUUUCAUAUUCCUAGUGUUUGUUGUUUAAUUUGGUCAAGCGUCGGUCAUGUUUGUUGUUGUGUCUUAAACCUAAAUAAUGGAAUGUUUAUUUGCUAAUAUAUGGAAAACUAUGAUGCAUAUAUUAUUUGCUAAUUUCUUUUCACACACCUCUUUACUUGAUAUUACGUUGUGAGGGAUAUACAUAGCAUAACCUAAUGGAGUUCCUUCUGCGCCUGUUAACAGACACAUCACUGUCUUUUUCGCCAUAUCUGAUCCUUCUUCCAGCUCCAUGUUAGACGACAAACUCCGAUUGAAAAUAGACAAAAAGCUUGCGAUAUAGACCUUAUGAAAGUGUUAUUAAAAAUUAGUUAUACAUUGGUGAUGAAAUAUAUUUUGAAUAUUCAUUUCACAAAGAAAUAAACUAUUGAAAACAUGUUGCUUCAUUGUCUGAAAAAGUCAAAUUUUGAAGAAAAAAAAGACUAAUCAUUAGAGACCUCUAAAAUCCCAAUUGUCAACCAAAUGAAACUAACCUUAGGCCGUUAAUGAUUUAACCACAACGUUAACACGCAUGCAUGUAACCACAACGUUAAUGGUUAACAACAAGCUUACAACAACCUUAAUAAAGUGGCGAGACUUACAUCAAAGACACAAAAUCUAGAAAUGAUUGGAACUUGACUUGAAAAGAUCCAAACGCAUAAGGUUCUUCUUGUUAAUAAACAUGAACCAUUUAGAUUUUCAAUAUACUAAUACAAACUAAGACAAAUAUCUUCUCCAAUCACCACCCCAAAUCAUUACCAAACGCACAACUGUAACUAAGCAAGAAGUACAUUAGGACCAAUCUCUUAAUCGUUGUCACGGAUUGGUCGCGUGUCAAUCAAGAUCAUCAAGAUCACUUUUAUGUCUUAGUGCUUCUUCUUCUUCUUCUUCUUGUUAUUAUUAUAUUUUGGUUUCUUGAGCAAAAAGUGUUAUGUUGUGAUCUUCAUUUGCCUUAGAGACAGAUAAGCUAGGAGGCGGUAACCGAAGAUCAUGGCAACGAGUGCAACCACUUCAGUCAGUCCAUUGUCUAUUCUCAUCCCGUUGAUAGAUUGAGCAAAGUCUUUAUACUGCACUUUAAGAAGAAGCUUGUAGGUGUGGUAAUUGAAGGAUAGGUAACGUAUCCAGGAGAUGAACACCGGUACUUUCUGAAGGACACAAAACAAAAGAGCUCAGAAACAGAGGAAAUCAAGAAACAAAGGAAAUCAAGAAACAGAGAACUUACCUUAACAAAGAAUCCUCCUGCGAGCAUAAAUGUCAUGACAGUAACUGAAGCCAAAGUCGUAGCCUUCUUUAAGUCCAUUAAGAUUGCUCCAAUAGCAAGUCCAAGUCCCUAGCAAAGAGUAAACAUAACUCAAACUCACCAUUUUGAUCUUACUUUCCCAUUAUAGAAAUGUGUUUUUUGGUCAAUCAGAACAUACCUGAGAUGCAAUGAUGCAAAGGAAGACCGUGAGCAUGCUCAAGAAGAAAGGAUACGGGCUAAGACGAAGACCAGUCAUGAAAUAGACCACGAGGAGGAAGAGAGAAGGCAGGAUAAAGUCUAGAGGGAGAUCACUCGUGGUCCUAGCCAAGAAAUACGCACUUAGUCUAUACAUAUCAGCUGCUCUCUCUUUAUUCAGCAUAGCUCGCUCUUGAGGGAACGCAAAGAUGGCUGUGAAAACAGGGAAGAACCCCCAGAAAACCGCUAUGAAGAAGAGCAAACCAGCCUGUAAACAACAAAAAAGAUCAUGUGAUAUUCAUGUUUCUUGAGGUACAAGGCAGAGAGGAGUGUGCAUCAAGAUACCUACCUGAUCUUGUAGUCCUCUUGGAGUGCGAAUAUCUGACUGCCACCAGAGAAGACCUAGAAUAACAGCUGUGGAUAAAACUUGUGUGACACGCAACCAGCUGAAGUAUUCGUGUCUGCGCUCUUUGAGUCCUCUAGAGAAGAGUAUGCAGUAUUGCUCCCACCAGCUCGCUCCCCAUUGUCUCUUUAGACGCAGAACUUUAGCUUUAGCUUCUUCGUCAAGUGGAACAGGAUCAGAUAGUUUCUUCUUCUCCUGUUCUGCAACCCUAGUCUCGUAUGCCUCCACCAGAUACUGCUUAGAAUGUUCCAAUAUAUAUUAAAACUCAUUUUGUUCCUUUUUAAUGAAUUUUAAAUUUAUUCACAUAAAAAAAACCUUGUUACAAUAGAUGUAUUGUUUGCUAAAGAAUUUAGAAAAAAGAGUUCUUUAAGUUUUUUGAAUGAAUUUUUUUACAUCUUUCAUUAUUGUUUGCUAAAGAAUUUAGAAAAAAAAUAAUCUUUAAUAUAAUUUUUUGAAUGAAUUUUUUUACAUAUUUGAUUAAUUUUUUAUGAAAGAGUAGUCUCUCUAUUUUAUUUUUUUAAACUCAAUUUGGUUUUCAGACAAUCUUAAGUUGUUGUUUGUGUGAUUACCUCAUGGACAGCAGCAGGAGAUGGCUUGCCAGUUUGAGGUUCUCUGCCUGAGUUUCCUACUUGAACUCUAUCUUCCAAAUCAGAAGGCACAGAGAUGUCGUUGAUGUUACCGUUGGCGAGAUCAAGCAAGAACUCAGCAGGGUUCAUGGUGAUAAGAGGAGAGCAACCAAUGGAAGAAAAGUAAACAAGAGCUUCUGAUGAUUUCCCAAAAUAGAGAAGGUUUCCUCUUCCUAAUAGAAUCAGCUUAUCGAAUCUAUGGAAGAGUCUACUAGAUGGCUGAUGUAUCGUUGUGAUCACUGUCUUCCCCGCCUGUUCCAAACACACAUCAAGAUUCAGACAACCAUCAAAGAGAGUAGUAGAGAGAUACAAAGUGUCUGAAACAAGCAAACCUCAGCGAUGUCGUGGAGCAUCUGGAUGGUUCUUAGAGCAGUGGUGGAGUCUAAACCGGAAGUUGGUUCAUCAAGAAGUAAUAGAGAAGGGUUAAUGAUGAUCUCGUUUCCAAUGGAAACUCUUUUCCUCUCUCCACCUGAUACACCUCUCACGAAUGCUCCACCAAUCAUAGUGUCUUGACACCUCUCCAGACCUAGCUCUUGGAUAACUUCAAUAGCACGCUGCUCCUUUUGCUCCCUUGUGAGAGUUUUAGGUAGACGCAAACGAGCAGCGUAGGUUAGCGUUUCUUUAACCGUAAGAUGAGGAAACAGAACAUCGUCUUGAGUCACAAACCCAAUCCUGCCAUCAAACCAGAAAAAAAAAAUUGAGUCUCCAUAUAUACAAUAAUACAAGAGAGUUUAGGGUUUAGGGCAAAAAGAUACUUACUUGCUUUUCAAGUAUUUAGAGUAAGGCUUGUCGUUGUAAGUAACAGAGCCUCCACUGGCGGAUUGAGAGAUUCGGCCACCGAGUAAGCUAAGAAGAGUUGUUUUGCCACUCCCUGAAGGACCCAUGAGUCCUCAGAGUUUUGAAGUCUUUCAUGCCAAAAUUAGGACCAUGACCUCAUCGAUGGAAACAUAUGGACCAAAUGUCUCAAGUUCAGAUGUUACAAGUAUGAAUCACUUUCUAAGUUCGUCGGUUCAUUCUAUUGGUGGUAAUAUGGUCAUGCCUAGCAAGUGGAUUGCAGAAGCAAUGGAUAUUGGCUGCUGCAAACUCAAAACCUGAUAAGCAAACUGUCUUUUCCCUUAUGUUUCAGCCAAACGAAGAAGAGAUAGUUCUUGUCCCAAAAAGGGACAAUGAGAUUUGGUUUGGCUGUAAACAGGCAACUCAUCUUUGGCUCAUCCUUUCAUUAAGUUUGUUUACUUCGUCUGUUUUCUUAUACACAUCUUCAAGACUGGUGAGUAAAACCAUGGUUUAGCUUGAGUUUCAAGUAUAACUACUGAAGAAACAAUGAUUGGUUUGCUACUACCCUCUUGUUCCAACCAGUUUGUGUUUGUGGGAUAAAAAUACUCAGUUUGCCAGAUUAAUGAUGUUGUCUUGUGUGCAUGUGUUUUUGAAGAAAAAAAAAAGAAUAAAGAACUCUUCCUUUAACCUUUCCAUAGUUUAAGAGCUUUAUCAAGACCACCAGAAGCUACUUUCUCACCAUCUGGACUCCAAUCCACAGCCCAAACCUUUCCAACACAACAAAAAAAACGAAAAAUUAUGAGAGAAAAGAGUGUAAAAAAAAAAAGCAAAACCAACAACUUGAGCUUUGAAGUAGUUUGAUACCUCAUCCUUAUGACCAGGGAGAUCAUGUUUUAGCUUUUUUGUUCCAAUCUCCCAUACCUGUCAAAGUCAAACAUAUUGAGGUUUAUUUGGUAGUUCUACUCUCUACUGUGUUAUCAAAUGUAAAAACAGGAUUUCACCUUGAGAGUUGAAUCUUUGCUGCAACUCAAAAGCAUCCUACUGUCAGGUGACCAACUGAUCUGAUAGACACAGUUAGCGUGGCCUCGGAAUGCUGUAAUAAAUUUUCCUGUGACACCAUCCCAUAGCUUCACAGAUUUAUCGAACGAUGCACUUGCAAUCCAUUGCCCAUUUGGUGAGAAAUACACAUGGUUUACAAGCUGUUUAUUGAGUUGACACCAAACAAAAUGUAAGAGUUCAAAAAUAAAAACAGAAACAAAAAAAAAAAAAAAAGUUUAGUAGCUAGUAGUAACCUGUUGAUGACCAGUACCAACCUGGCUGUAGUAACCAUUUUUUGUUUAGGUUGUAAGCUAACGGAUGGUUCCCAAAGGAUUAUCGUAAAAUCAUCAGAACCAGACACUAAUCUUUCAGGAGAAUCUACUUUCCCUUUUGCUUUGAUGUAUCUUUCAAGUGCAAUCUUACCACACAUAUAGGGAGAGGAUCAGAAUCAGGCUAGAAAAAGACGAGGCAAAGCCAGUAGAAUCAUCAGAAGCUUAUUGUUACCUUUUUCAUUUCUUCAUCUGAACCUGUUACUUGUCUAGUGUUGUCAAACGCUCCUGUCCGAAGAACAUAUUCUGUACUCAAUGAAAGGGAGUUCACCCAACCGGCAUGGUCCUGAAGAAGCAAGUAACUUGAGAAAUGUUAUCUUAAAGUAAAGACCUAGGAGACAAAAAAAAGUUACCUUCAAUAUAUGUUUGAGGAUUCCUUGACCCUGCUGAGUGAUCUCCCACAUCCUUAUGGUACUAUCUUGUGAACUGCACAAUAACAUGUUAACAAGAUAAAACACCAAUAAGAAACAUUUCAGGUUAUUAUAAAAAUGUAUGUACCCUGUGUAUAUAGUUCCAUCACCACCCCAUUUGACACAGGUCACAGCUCGUGUGUGUCCACUGAGGACAAUAAGAGUUCUCUUCAGUGUAAAGUCCCAGAUCCUUGCAUCCCCAUCUUUGCCACAAGUCACAAAUCUCCUGCUUGGAUAACUAAGAUGAGCUGGUUCCCACGCGAUACCACAAAUCCACUUCUUGUGACCCUACGAAAAAUUGAAGAUCUAUCAGUAAACACACACAAAAAAAAACAUAACCAACAAAACAUUUAUAAAGUAAAGAAGAGUUUAACUGAAAGUGCAUUGCCCUGUAAUUCUCCUUUGCUUGGAUCCCAACAACAGACUUUUCCAUCUCUAUCACCGCUCACAAGACACUUUGCAUCUGGUGACCAUGCAACUGCGAGAACAUGUUCCUUGUGCCCUGAACAAACGUUACAGGAACUAUGUUUAUUACAAGAAAUCUAAAUAUAGAUAGACAUCAUUAAAAAGAAAAUCAUAAGACGUUUCGAACCUUUGCAUGUAAACAUUGGAGUUUCAGUGUUGAGAUCCCAAAGCCUUACAGUUUUAUCACCUGAACCACUUGCUAGUUGCUUACCGUCAGGGCUAAACGAAACACAGAGAAUCUCACCCUCAUGAACUAACAAAAGCCAAUCAUAAUCACUCGAACCAUCUCUUCUAAAACUCAAAUACAAAAAUCAACAUUAACUUUAACAUAUAAUAUAUAUAUACCAUCGCUUAUUGUCUGUGAGCAACGGUAAACCGGGCGAAUCCUGAAAACAGCUUGUUGUCGAUAAACAAUCUUCAAAACAUUCUCCACGGACACUAAACCACACAUGUUCAUGUCAAAACAUUAAUAAAAAAUAUACUAAGAUAAUGUUUUCUAUAGAAAACAUAAGAGACCAAACUGCUUUGCUUAUUAUUAGGGUUUUACCGCUAUUUCUCUCCAUGCAAGUUCCCACUGAGACAAGAAGCUCUUCAUCUGAUACAUAGAAGCUGUAAGAUAACUUCUCCUCCUGGAUAUUAUCAAUUUCCCAUGAAGUCAUUUCAAUAUUAGGUUCGGUAAGUAUAAUCAAUAUCAGAUUCGAAAGGAUAGAAGAAUAUACAUUGUUGAGAAACGUAUUGACCAAGUUGGUGAGCUGCAAAUGCCCUGCGUUGUGAGGGAUAUACAUAGCAGAACCUAGUGGAGUUCCUUCUGCGUCUGUUAACAGACACAUCACUGUGUUCAUCGCCAUCUCCGACGCUUCCGGCUCUAUGUUCGACGACAAACUCCGAUGGAAAAUAGACAAAGGCUUUUGCGAUAUAAAUAUAAACCCUAAAAGUAAAAGUUAUUUAUUUAAGUAAAUCCUCCAAAUUAACCCUCUAUUUAUAAAUAAACCCCAAAUUUUCCUUUUGAAGUCUUAUAACCCCUAAAUUACAAUUGCCAACCUAAAUGUUUUCAUGUAACGCCGUUAAUGAUUUAACCACGACGUGGUUAACACGCAUUUAACAUUAGAGAUCUUAAACUGCAAAGGAUUUAACCACAGUGUGGUAUUUUUUUUUUGGUAAGUGGGCUUUAAUUGUUGGUUAGCAUACAACUGUCAUUCUCGGAGAUUUGGACUUUAAAGGUAGGUAGGUACAUGUGCUAGUAGUUAACAAACAAACACACACUUAACAGUAGUUCAAACGCAACAACUCAGAAACUUCAGUUUUGUGUCUUUAUCCCAUCCUCUCAACUCUCUCUAUAAAUAAGAUUUCAAGUGCAUGCAUGUCUAUCUAUAUUUCAACAUCACAAAUACAAAAGAAAGAAACUCAAAGCGACGGCCAUGGCAAAAGUUGGGGAUCUAGAGACAUGCAUCAAUAACAGAAUUAAAGAGAUCGAGGAGGAAGAAGAACGUAAUUUGAAGAUACUUAAGGAGUUGGAGACUCAGAUCAUGUCCCCAACGGAAAAAGGUCGUAGCCUUUGAUCACCUUUCUCAAACCGAUAUUGAUUAAAAAAUUCUUUCUUUUUUUUGAGAUUGAGAUUGAUAAUUUAAGAUUGAUAAUUUAGGUACGCAACAUCCGUCUACAAGUAUCAACAAGCCAAUUCUUGGGGAUGAUGUCCCAAAGGCUUCAGAUGUUGCACCCGAAGGGGGACCUUCUUUCCGCCCAAAGGGAAAGGGAAACAUGAAACCAUCUGAUGACGAUGAUGAGAAGAAGACCAAUGAAGGAAAGAGCAGCAAGUCUGGUGGUGUGGAUGAUGCCUAAUGAAGCAGCCGUCGAAUAAUAAAAUUA